AUUAAACGCUGGCGGCAGGCCUAACACAUGCAAGUCGAGCGGUAGAGAGAAGCUUGCUUCUCUUGAGAGCGGCGGACGGGUGAGUAAAGCCUAGGAAUCUGCCUGGUAGUGGGGGAUAACGUUCGGAAACGGACGCUAAUACCGCAUACGUCCUACGGGAGAAAGCAGGGGACCUUCGGGCCUUGCGCUAUCAGCUGAGCCUAGGUCGGAUUAGCUAGUUGGUGAGGUAAUGGCUCACAAAGGCGACGAUCCGUAACUGGUCUGAGAGGAUGAUCAGUCACACUGGAACUGAGACACGGUACAGACUCCUACGGGAGGCAGCAGUGGGGAAUAUUGGACAAUGGGCGAAAGCCUGAUCCAGCCAUGCCGCGUGUGUGAAGAAGGUCUUCGGAUUGUAAAGCACUUUAAGUUGGGAGGAAGGGCAUUAACCUAAUACGUUAGUGUUUUGACGUUACCGACAGAAUAAGCACCGGCUAACUCUGUGCCAGCAGCCGCCGUAA
rnacentral:rRNA from 1 species